rnacentral:rRNA from 1 species
GACGAACGCUGGCGGCGUGCCUAAUACAUGCAAGUCGAGCGAACAUUUGAGAGCUUGCUCUCAAAUGUUAGCGGCGGACGGGUGAGUAACACGUGGGCAACCUGCCUAUAAGACUGGGAUAACUUCGGGAAACCGGAGCUAAUACCGGAUAAUUCACAUCUACUCAUGUAGAUGUGCUGAAAGACGGUUUCGGCUGUCACUUAUAGAUGGGCCCGCGGCGCAUUAGCUAGUUGGUGAGGUAACGGCUCACCAAGGCCACGAUGCGUAGCCGACCUGAGAGGGUGAUCGGCCACACUGGGACUGAGACACGGCCCAGACUCCUACGGGAGGCAGCAGUAGGGAAUCUU